CCAGACUCCUACGGGAGGCAGCAGUGGGGAAUAUUGGGCAAUGGGCGCAAGCCUGACCCAGCAACGCCGCGUGAAGGAAGAAGGCUUUCGGGUUGUAAACUUCUUUUGUCAGGGACGAAGCAAGUGACGGUACCUGACGAAUAAGCCACGGCUAACUACGUGCCAGCAGCCGCGGUAAUACGUAGGUGGCAAGCGUUAUCCGGAUUUAUUGGGUGUAAAGGGCGUGUAGGCGGGAAUGCAAGUCAGAUGUGAAAACUAUGGGCUCAACCCAUAGCCUGCAUUUGAAACUGUUUCCCUUGAGUGUCGGAGAGGUAAUCGGAAUUCCUUGUGUAGCGGUGAAAUGCGUAGAUAUAAGGAAGAACACCAGUGGCGAAGGCGGAUUACUGGACGAUAACUGACGGUGAGGCGCGAAAGCGUGGGGAGCAAACAGGAUUAGAUACCCGCGUA
rnacentral:rRNA from 1 species